CUCGUAGGCGGCUUGUCACGUCUGCUGUGAAACGCGGGGCUUAACUCCGCGCUUGCAGUGGGUACGGGCAGGCUUGAGUAUAGUAGGGGAGACUGGAAUUCCUGGUGUAGCGGUGGAAUGCGCAGAUAUCAGGAGGAACACCGAUGGCGAAGGCAGGUCUCUGGGCUAUAACUGACGCUGAGGAGCGAAAGCAUGGGGAGCGAACA
rnacentral:rRNA from 1 species